AGUGGCUGACCUGGUAGAGUGGUGUGGAGUUGGUGGUGGCCAUGUUCUACCAGCCAGGGACAACACAAGCCCUGUUCAUCUCAGGUUUGCUCUGGUCUGUGCCCAACCUGGGUCAUGCUGUGGACACAUGA
ensembl:snoRNA